AAAUUGAAGAGUUUGAUCAUGGCUCAGAUUGAACGCUGGCGGCAGGCCUAACACAUGCAAGUCGAACGGUAACAGGAAGCAGCUUGCUGUUUCGCUGACGAGUGGCGGACGGGUGAGUAAUGUCUGGGAAACUGCCUGAUGGAGGGGGAUAACUACUGGAAACGGUGGCUAAUACCGCAUAACGUCGCAAGACCAAAGAGGGGGACCUUCGGGCCUCUUGCCAUCAGAUGUGCCCAGAUGGGAUUAGCUAGUUGGUGAGGUAACGGCUCACCAAGGCGACGAUCCCUAGCUGGUCUGAGAGGAUGACCAGCCACACUGGAACUGAGACACGGUCCAGACUCCUACGGGAGGCAGCAGUGGGGAAUAUUGCACAAUGGGCGCAAGCCUGAUGCAGCCAUGCCGCGUGUAUGAAGAAGGCCUUCGGGUUGUAAAGUACUUUCAGC
rnacentral:rRNA from 2 species